UUAGGACGAACGCUGGCGGCAUGCCUAACACAUGCAAGUCGAACGGACAUAACCAAGUUAUAGCGAUAUAAUGCGGGUAUGUUAGUGGCGAACGGGUGAGUAACACGUGAGCAACCUGCCCUGUACAACGGGAUAACAGUUGGAAACGACUGCUAAUACGGUAUAGACCACACUGCGGCAUCGCAGAGGGGUAAAAGUGAAUUAGCGGUACAGGAUGGGCUCGCGUCCAAUUAGCUAGUUGGUGAGGUAACGGCUCACAAAGGCGACGAUUGGUAGCCGACCUGAGAGGGUGAUCGGCCACACUGGAACUGAGACACGGUCCAGACUCCUACGGGAGGCAGCAGUGGGGAAUAUUGGGCAAUGGAAGGAAACUCUUACCCAGCAAUGCCGCGUGAAGGAAGAAGGUCUUCGGAUUGUAAACUUCUUUUAUUGGGGACGAAUAAAUGACGGUACCCGAUGAAUAAGCCCCGGCUAACUAUGUGCCAGCCGCUGC
rnacentral:rRNA from 1 species